CUGUAGACAUAUGGUGGUGGAGGAGAUUUGUAGUCAACCUUAGGGGAAGGUGAGUAGUAUGGUGGUGGAGGAGAUUUGUAGUCAACCUUAGGGGAAGGUGAGUAGUAUGGUGGUGGUGGUGAACUAUAGACGUAUGGUGGUGGUGGAGAUUUGUAAUCUACCUUAGGGGCAGGUGAGUAGUAUGGUGGUGGGGGUGAGCUGUAGACAUACGGUGGUGGGGGAGAUUUGUAGUCUACCUUCGGGGAAGGUGAGUAGUAUGGUGGUGGUGGUGAGCUAUAGACGUACGGUGGUGGAGGAGAUUUGUAGUCUACUUUAGGGGAAGGUGAGUAGUAUGGUGGUGGUGGUGAGCUGUAGACGUACGGUGGUGGGGGAGAUUUGUAGUCUACCUUAGGGGAAGGUGAGUAGUAUGGUGGUGGUGGUGAGCUGUAGACGUACGGUGGUGGGGGAGACUUGUAAACUACUUUAGGAGAAGGAGAGUAGUAUGGUGGUGGUGGUGAGCUGUAGACGUACGGUGGUGGGGGAGACUUGUAGACUACCUUAGGAGAAGGAGAGUAGUAUGGUGGUGGUGGAGAACUGUAGACAUACGGUGGUGGAGGAGACUUGUAGACUACCUUAGGAGAAGGAGAAUAAUAUGGUGGUGGUGGAGAACUGUAAACGUAUGGUGGUGGGGGAGACUUGUAGACUACCUUAGGAGAAGGAGAGUAGUAUGGUGGUGGUGGAGAACUGUAGACAUACGGUGGUGGGGGAGACUUGUAGACUACCUUAGGAGAAGGAGAAUAGUAUGGAGGUGGUGGAGAACUGUAAACAUACGGUGGUGGGGGAGACUUGUAGACUACCUUAGGAGAAGGAGAGUAGUAUGGUGGUGGUGGAGAACUAUAGACAUACGGUGGUGGGGGAGACUUGUAGUGUACCUUAGGGGAAGGAGAGUAAUAUGGUGGUGGUGGAGAACUGUAGACAUACGGUGGUGGGGGAGACUUGUAGUGUACCUUAGGAGAAGGAGAGUGAUAUGGUGGUGGUGGAGAACUGUAAACGUACGGUGGUGGGGAGGACUUGUACACAACCUUUGGAGAUGGAGAAUAACAUGGAGGAGGUGGUGGACAGACACAUACAUGAGGGUGUGGUGGAGAUUUGUAUAGAACCUUAGGGGAUGGUGCGUGGUAUGGUGAUGGAGGAGACUUGUAGUAUACUUUAGGAGAAGGGGAGUAGUAUGGUGGUGGUGGAGAACUGUAAACGUAUGGUGGUGGGGGAGACUUGUAGACUACCUUAGGAGAAGGAGAGUAGUAUGGUGGUGGUGGAGAACUGUAGACAUACGGUGGUGGGGGAGACUUGUAGACUACCUUAGGAGAAGGAGAGUAGUAUGGAGGUGGUGGAGAACUGUAAACAUACGGUGGUGGGGGAGACUUGUAGACUACCUUAGGAGAAGGAGAGUAGUAUGGUGGUGGUGGAGAACUGUAGACAUACGGUGGUGGGGGAGACUUGUAUAAAACCUUUGGUGAAGGAGAGUAGUACGGUGGUGGUGGAGAACUGUAAACAUAUGGUGGUGGAGGAGACUUGUAGUCUACCUUAGGGGAUGGUGAAUAGUAUGGUGGUGGAGGAGAACUGUAAACAUAUGGUGGAGGAGGAGAUUUGUAUACAACCUUUGGAGAUGGCGAGUAGUAUGGUGGUGGAGGAGAACUGUAAACAUAUGGUGGAGGAGGAGAUUUGUAGUCUACCUUAGGGGAUGGUGAGUAGUAUGGUGGUGGUGGGGAACUGUAAACAUAUGGUGGAGGAGGAGACUUGUAUACAACCUUUGGUGAAGGUGUGUAGUAUGGGGGUGGUGGGGAGCUGUAGACGUACGGUGGUGGGGGAGAUUUGUAGACUAUCUUAGGAGAAGGUGAGUAGUAUGGUGGUGGUGGUGAGCUGUAGACGUAUGGUGGUGGUGGAGACUUGUAGUCUACCUUAGGUGAUGGUGAGUAGUAUGGUGGUGGUGGAGAACUGUAAACAUAUGGUGGAGGAGGAGAUUUGUAGUCUACCUUCGGGGUUGGUGAGUAGUAUGGUGGUGGUGGGGAACUGUAAACAUAUGGUGGAGGAGGAGACUUGUAUACAACCUUAGGGGAUGGAGAGUAGUAUGGUGGUGGUGGAGAACUGUAGACAUACGGUGGUGGGGGAGAUUUGUAGUCUACCUUAGGGGAAGGUGAGUAGUAUGGGGGUGGUGGGGAGCUGUAGACGUACGGUGGUGGGGGAGAUUUGUAGACUAUCUUAGGAGAAGGUGAGUAGUAUGGUGGUGGUGGUGAGCUGUAGACGUAUGGUGGUGGUGGAGACUUGUAGUCUACCUUAGGUGAUGGUGAGUAGUAUGGUGGUGGUGGAGAACUGUAAACAUAUGGUGGAG
rnacentral:lncRNA from 1 species